UAUUCUCUAGCUUCUAUGCUCCGUGGAGUAUCUCAGCUGCUGAAUACACACCAGGCAAUGUCCUCAACAAAGAGGGUAGAACUGGAUACUGCAAGCUCAUUUUUGUUGCUGUUGUUUGUUUGUUUGCUUGUAAAUCUGGAGGCGUAUCACAAAGCCUGAGGUGGGUAGGUGAGUAGAAGAGGAAAUGAGAUGGCUUUCACAGUAACACUGGUGACUGCUGUCUUGUUUGCUACGACAAAUGUAGUGCCUGAAAGCAUUUGUUUUGAUAGUUAACAUACGAUGAGAAGUGACCCUUUUUCUUCUCAACUAAGAGAAGAGGCAUUGAUCGAGUCACUUUCCUCUUCCAAUUUCCCUCCUACCCCUGAGCAGUCAGUCACACAGCUCUUUGCCUGACCUUUUUCUCAGGGCUGCUGAUGCAUCUCUGACAGCACUGCUGCCUCUGCAUGUCAGGAUGGGUGGGCUUGGUGGCAACAGAGCUCUCUGCUCUGUUCCUCCAGCAGGACAGGAGCUACGAAUGUUUUCUGGAUGCACACUGGGCAGCUGGGUGCGCUUCCGUAAUGCUCGCCAGGAUCCUGCAAGGUCUUUCGCUGCAGUGAAGCUGCUUUGAGGAGGAGUCUGUCAACCCCCAAAACACCGCUUUGAAUACUGAGUAGAGAGAAGUUUGUGAGCAAACAGUGCAUCUUUCCUGUAUGACCACAUCCUAAAUCCUCAAGGGCAGUGGAUGUGGAUGUGGCUGUGUGUGUGGACAGUGCUGUAAUCCAGAGGGCUUUCCUGAGCUGCCACGGCUGUCCCAAAAGUGUCAGUGGGCUUUGACAUGCAAGCAGUGAAUCCUUUCAGUAGUGUGUUUAUGUUGGGGGAGAUGUCUUUUUAUUAUUAUUAUUAUUUUUAUUUCUUGUCCUCUUUUAGGUAUUGUUUCAGGUCAGGAUGCGGAGCACUCUGCCUCACUGCAGCUGAAAACUGAAACAAUGUUUGUGCUGUUGGCGCUCCGCAUCCCACUGCAAAACCCCGGUCCUGCUCCUGCUGUGAAGAUGACAAGCUUCAACCUGGGGCAAAUCCAUGGGAACGGCGGCUGUGGGGCAGAGCCUCGCACUUUCACACUGGAAAAGCAGCAUUUGCGAGAGGAGUGAGGAGCUUUUACCUUGGCUCCGGCCCACAGGCUUUCUUCAGAAUAUUCCUUUCACAUGGAAAUUCUUGCCAAGUGAAGAUUGCUAGCGCUGACUGGCAUGUCAGCCGUGGCAAAAGACACAGGGGUUUUGUAUCGUUGGAUGUACGUGACACACAGAAAAGGAGAGAGGUUUCGUUUUGUGUUGGCUACCGUAAUCGGCCAGCGGCACGCAGGGAGUCUUUGUGGAAGGGGUGGCAGAGAGGGAGUAAGUAUAGGAAAAGAAAGCUAGAUUUAUUAACAUUAAUUCCAAAUAAUCAGUUUUCUGCUGAAGGCAGUACCACUAAUCUCAAAUUUCCCUGCCUCAGAGUCGCUACUUGAGUCCCAUGCCUGCUCCACGUAAAGCCCUGGCCAAGAAAGCACACCUGCAUUAACUCCACUGCACAUAAUUUAUUGAGCCAGCUUCGCCACAAUACUUUUUUUGUUUCCCAACAGAAGUCAUUCCUAGCCUGACCAUCCUAUGCACUGGUUUUCAGUCAGCCUUACCCAGUGUGGACAAGGCAGAUGCUGCCCUGUGGUGUGGCCCUCACCUGUACCUCGGGCUCCUACAGAGAUGUAUUCCAGCAGAAGACCUGCGCAGAAGAGCAGGAGUGCCUCAGAAGGGCUUCUCCGAUACCAGAAAGCUGCUGAUUUCCUCUGGGCAGCCAGCAGUUUGUUUUUCCUAUUCUGUCUGCAUCUGCAGAACAUCUUCUCCACAAACUCCGAGGUGUUCUCCCAGACAUAACACAUACAGAGCCUCAUAGGAAGGGCCAAUAGUUACAGCUGCUGUUUGACACAAGAUGAGAGCAGAGGAGGGGGAUGCCAUCAGCCGAUGUCGUAGGUCCCUGGGAAAAUACAAGGUUUCCAAUGCCAGAUUCCCAGAUGAUCGCAGGAAACCAAAUCCUUCUGUAUCUCAUGGAGGAAAGUUAAAAACAAAAUGGGUCCCGUCAGUCUCAUUGUUGGGGAAGAUGCCUUACCUCAAACCCGACAAUCAGGCCCUGAGUAGCAAGAGCGUGUAGUAAGAGCACAAGGAAAUUCCCACUUAGGUUUCUGCUCUGCCUUCAACACCUCACAGGAGCCCUGAAUCUUUUCUUGAAAAAGCCAAGUUAUGUAUCAAGGGAAGAAAUACAAUCCAUGCUGGCCCUCGUAUGUGACCACAGCACACCUGGAUGCGUGGAGCUGCUGCAGCGUAAUUAAGGGGAAGCUAGGAGUGACCCACUUCCUUCUGGACCUCCUCAGAGACACUGGGGGUCUGGUAUCACCAGCAGAGCUUUAUUUCUCUGUGGAUUCCUCUAGUCUGUUGUACAGUCACUUCCGUCAGGUUACUGAACUUGAGCUGGUGCAGCAGAGGUUCCUUGUCAGUUUACUUGAAAGGCUUUUUGAGAACUUCACUUUUCUAGUUCUUAUAAAUUUUCAAA